rnacentral:rRNA from 1 species
GUGGGGAAUAUUGCGCAAUGGGGGAAACCCUGACGCAGCGACGCCGCGUGAGCGAAGAAGGCCUUAGGGUUGUAAAGCUCUGUUUUAAGGGACGAAUGUCGUGGGGAGUAAUAUGCUCUGCGAAUGACGGUACCUUAAGAGGAAGCCCCGGCUAACUACGUGCCAGCAGCCGCGGUAAGACGUAGGGGGCGAGCGUUGUCCGGAAUUACUGGGCGUAAAGAGCACGUAGGCGGGAACUUAAGUCAGGUGUGAAAGACCGGGGCUCAACUCCGGGGUUGCACUUGAAACUGGGUUUCUUGAGGGCAGGAGAGGAAAGCAGAAUUCCUGGUGUAGCGGUGAAAUGCGUAGAAAUCAGGAGGAAUACCAGUGGCGAAGGCGGCUUUCUGGACUGACCCUGACGCUGAGGUGCGAAAGCGUGGGUAGCAAACAGGAUUAGAAACCCGGGUAGUCC